rnacentral:rRNA from 1 species
GGGCCCGCACAAGCGGUGGAGUAUGUGGUUUAAUUCGAUGCAACGCGAAGAACCUUACCAGGGUUUGACAUCCUGCGAAUCUCUUGGAAACGAGAGAGUGCCUUCGGGAACGCAGUGACAGGUGGUGCAUGGCUGUCGUCAGCUCGUGUCGUGAGAUGUUGGGUUAAGUCCCGCAACGAGCGCAACCCACGUCUUUAGUUGCCAGCAUUUAGUUGGGCACUCUAGAGAGACUGCCGGUGAUAAACCGGAGGAAGGUGUGGAUGACGUCAAGUCAUCAUGCCCCUUACGGGUUGGGCUACACACGUGCUACAAUGGUAGUGACAAUGGGUUAAUCCCAAAAAGCUAUCUCAGUUCGGAUUGUCGUCUGCAACUCGACGGCAUGAAGUCGGAAUCGCUAGUAAUCG